AGUGAACGCUGGCGGUAGGCCUAACACAUGCAAGUCGAACGGCAGCACAGUAAGAGCUUGCUCUUACGGGUGGCGAGUGGCGGACGGGUGAGGAAUACAUCGGAAUCUACUUUUUCGUGGGGGAUAACGUAGGGAAACUUACGCUAAUACCGCAUACGACCUACGGGUGAAAGCAGGGGAUCUUCGGACCUUGCGCGAUUGAAUGAGCUGAUGUCGGAUUAGCUAGUUGGCGGGGUAAAGGCCCACCAAGGCGACGAUCCGUAGCUGGUCUGAGAGGAUGAUCAGCCACACUGGAACUGAGACACGGUCCAGACACCUACGGGAGGCAGCAGUGGGGAAUAUUGGACAAUGGGCGCAAGCCUGAUCCAGCCAUACCGCGUGGGUGAAGAAGGCCUUCGGGUUGUAAAGCCCUUUUGUUGGGAAAGAAAAGCAGCAGGUUAAUACCCCGCUGUUCUGACGGUACCCAAAGAAUAAGCACCGGCUAACUUCGUG
rnacentral:rRNA from 1 species